rnacentral:rRNA from 1 species
AUACGGAGGAUCCGAGCGUUAUCCGGAUUUAUUGGGUUUAAAGGGUGCGCAGGCGGCCAUUUAAGUCAGCGGUUAAAUCGUGGGGCUCAACCCCAUUCUGCCGUUGAUACUGGGUGGCUUGAUUGCGGUCGAGGUUGGCGGAAUUCGUUGUGUCGCGGUGAAAUGCAUAGAUAUGACGAAGAACACCGAUUGCGUAGGCAGCUGACCAGACCGCAAAUGACGCUCAUGCACGAAAGUGCGGGGAUCGAACAGGAUUAGAUACCCUGGUAGUCCGCACAGUAAACGAUGAAUACUUGUUUUCGGCGAUAUAAUGUCGGAGGCAAAGCGAAAGCGAUAAGUAUUCCACCUGGGGAGUACGCCGGCAACGGUGAAACUCAAAUGAAUUGACGGGG